rnacentral:misc_RNA from 1 species
AGAUUAGUUACAGGGGCUAUGAAAUCAAGCCCAAUAAGUUGCUUGCAAGUAGAAUGUUGUGAUCCACCUCUUGCCUUUAGAAGACAGUUUCUAUGUGACAAAUUCUUUUUCCGUUCCGUGCAACUAUAUUCUCAUCCACUACUUCCAAAAGUAAAGCAAUUAGCUGAACUGGUUGAAACAGGUAACUAUUGGACCCAUAAGGAUUCUCCUUGUGUUGUUAAGAGUUAUAAAAAAUACAAAAGUCUAGAAGCACCGACUUAUAGAAGUGAGACUCUUCCUUUAUAUCAACAAUCAUACAACAGUCUCAUUACUAAUCCAGAUAUUAGAUUUAACAUCGGUAUAUCUAAACACGAUAUAAAUCCAAAAAUAGAUUUUUUGAACAUUCUUAACAAUGACUGGAGUAAUUGGCACUGUUUGUACACAGAUGCCUCUAAACAUGGUGAUAGAAGUUGCGUUGGUGUUGGAGUCUUUCAUUCACAAUACAAAGGAUUACAACUUAUUAAACUGCCACCUGAAAGUUCUGUCUACACUGGUGAAUGUUAUGGUUUACUUAAAGCUAUAGAAUAUGUACUUAUGUUGAAGAUACCUAAAACAAUAAUUUUUUCAGACUCCCGUAGUGCUUUAGAAGCAAUAAUGAGGUUUCCAUUUAAGUCACAUAAACAGUCCCCUGUCGUGUUUAACAUUAGGAGCCUUUUAUACAAAUGUUCCCAAAAGAGUUGUGCUGUCGUGCUGGCUUGGGUGCCAAGCCAUGUGGGUGUCCCUGGGAAUGAGAGAGCUGACCAACUGGCAAAUGAGGCUAUUCACGUGGGAGACAUUGUACCAUAUCAUAACUAUUGUCAUGACUUAAUCAAUUUGUCUAAAGCGUAUUUGUAUGAUAAUUGGAAUGGGAUUUGGAAUAAGGAAACAUCAAAAGGUAAACAUUAUCGGCAUAUUCAGCCGGCAAUUCCAAAGAAACCAUGGUUUACAAGAGUAUCAUUUUCAAAAACUGUGACGUCAACAUUAUGCAGAAUGCGCCUGGGGCAUGUUUGUUCCCCGGCGCAUUUACAUAAAAUAAAUAAAAAGCCGGAUCCUCAUUGCUCUUGUGGCGAAUAUGGGGACCUAAACCAUAUUUUCUUUGCAUGUACUCUUCACGAUCGCUCUGAUUUUCUUUCUAGUCUUGAAUUACUACGCAUCCCAUUUCCCACAUCCAUACUUUGCUUGCUGUGUAAUUAUUCGUAUGAUAUUUAUAAGGCCAUAUCAGUAUUUUUAGAAAAGAACGAUAUAAAAUUGUAGUAUAAAAUGUAUAUAUCAUAUCGAAUCCAAUCCUUUCCUUUCCAAAUUACCGUAAUAUCCGUAUUUCCUAAUUCCUAGUUUCCCUAACUUUAACUCUUUCACUUGUCGUUGGCUAAUGUAACAAAAGCCAGAAAAAAAAAAAAAAAAACUUAUCUGUCAAACUGCGGUCACAUUUACAAACUGAAAAACAUGAGUAAAUAAUAAAAUUAUGAUUAAAAUAAUAAAGUACGGCUUUGUUCCCGUGAAGAGCGACAUUGAGCGCGGUCAGAACAACGUCAAAGGGCUCAAAUUAUUUCAGGCGGGCCACGUUUUAGAUGUGACUGAGAAAAUCAACGUCGACAAAACAUCCAAAAUUAGUGGACGAAUCGUGGCCCAAACGAGGAUUUCAAAUGUUUAUGAAGCCCAAAUUACAGAGCGUCAUGCAAGGACAAUGACGAGAGUCUCCGUUGCGUGCCGCCGUGCCCGCCUCCUAGAACAUG